rnacentral:rRNA from 1 species
UACGAAGGGGGCUAGCGUUGCUCGGAGUCACUGGGCGUAAAGCGCACGUAGGCGGCUUUUUAAGUCAGGGGUGAAAUCCUGGAGCUCAACUCCAGAACUGCCUUUGAUACUGAGAAGCUUGAGUCCGGGAGAGGUGAGUGGAACUGCGAGUGUAGAGGUGAAAUUCGUAGAUAUUCGCAAGAACACCAGUGGCGAAGGCGGCUCACUGGCCCGGUACUGACGCUGAGGUGCGAAAGCGUGGGGAGCAAACAGG